rnacentral:rRNA from 1 species
UACGUAGGGUGCGAGCGUUGUCCGGAAUUAUUGGGCGUAAAGAUCUCGUAGGCGGCUUGUCGCGUCGGAUGUGAAAGCCCGGGGCUUAACUCCGGGUCUGCAUUCGAUACGGGCAGGCUAGAGUUCGGUAGGGGAGAUCGGAAUUCCUGGUGUAGCGGUGAAAUGCGCAGAUAUCAGGAGGAACACCGGUGGCGAAGGCGGAUCUCUGGGCCGAUACUGACGCUGAGGAGCGAAAGCGUGGGGAGCGAACAGG